UCGAGCGGUAAGGGCCCUUCGGGGUACACGAGCGGCGAACGGGUGAGUAACACGUGGGUGAUCUGCCCUGCACUUCGGGAUAAGCCUGGGAAACUGGGUCUAAUACCGGAUAUGACUUCCUGCCGCAUGGUGGGGGGUGGAAAGGUUUACUGGUGCAGGAUGGGCCCGCGGCCUAUCAGCUUGUUGGUGGGGUAAUGGCCUACCAAGGCGACGACGGGUAGCCGACCUGAGAGGGUGACCGGCCACACUGGGACUGAGACACGGCCCAGACUCCUACGGGAGGCAGCAGUGGGGAAUAUUGCACAAUGGGCGAAAGCCUGAUGCAGCGACGCCGCGUGAGGGAUGACGGCCUUCGGGUUGUAAACCUCUUUCAGCAGGGACGAAGCGCAAGUGACGGUACCUGCAGAAGAAGCACCGGCCAACUACGUGCCAGCAGCCGCGGUAAUACGUAGGGUGCAAGCGUUGUCCGGAAUUACUGGGCGUAAAGAGCUCGUAGGCGGUUUGUCGCGUCGUCUGUGAAAACUCGUAGCUCAACUACGGGCGUGCAGGCGAUACGGGCAGACUAGAGUACUGCAGGGGAGACUGGAAUUCCUGGUGUAGCGGUGAAAUGCGCAGAUAUCAGGAGGAACACCGGUGGCGAAGGCGGGUCUCUGGGCAGUAACUGACGCUGAGGA
rnacentral:rRNA from 1 species